rnacentral:rRNA from 1 species
AAAGGGGGCCUCUGUUUACAAGCUCCUGCUUCUGGAUGAGCCCGCGUCCCAUCAGCUAGUUGGUAGGGUAAUGGCCUACCAAGGCUACGACGGGUAGCUGGUCUAAGAGGAUGGCCAGCCACACUGGAACUGAGACACGGUCCAGACUCCUACGGGAGGCAGCAGUGGGGAAUCUUGCGCAAUGGGCGAAAGCCUGACGCAGCGACGCCGCGUGGGUGACGAAGGCCUUCGGGUUGUAAAGCCCUGUGGGGUAGAACGAACUGGCAUCGGGCUAAUAUCCCGGUGUCUUGACGGUACUGCCUUAGCAAGCAUCGGCUAACUCUGUGCCAGCAGCCGCGGUAAGACAGAGGAUGCGAACGUUGCUCGGAUUUACUGGGCGUAAAGCGCGUGUAGGCGGUCUCGUUAGUCGGGUGUGAAAGCCCCGGGCUCAACCCGGGAAGUGCACCCGAUACUGCGAGACUGGGGUACUGAAGAGGAGAGCGGAAUUCCCGGUGUAGAGGUGAAAUUCGUAGAUAUCGGGAGGAACACCGA